UUAAGUACUCUUUGUGUGGCUGCCGAACGCCACGUGGUGGAGAAAACAGUGGCCAUCUUGUCGUACGAAAGCAGGCAGCGGGACUUAGUCGUCGAGUGCCUGGAGCUCAGAGGUGGACACUCGACUGCCCGAACACCGGUUAAACCAUACGGAGGCCUGCUUCGGUUUGCGGCAAGCCAGGAGAGUGCUGUUUGGUAGGUUUGUUCGACUGGAUCUCAUGAACAAACACUACCCAUGAGCC